rnacentral:rRNA from 1 species
GACGUAGGGGACGAGCGUUGUUCGGAUUCAUUGGGCGUAAAGGGUGCGUAGGUGGUCUGGUAAGUCGGAUGUGAAAUCCCGGAGCUUAACUUCGGAACUGCAUUCGAUACUGCCGGACUGGAGUACUGGAGAGGAGAUCGGAAUUUACGGUGUAGCAGUGAAAUGCGUAGAUAUCGUAAGGAAGACCAGUGGCGAAGGCGGAUCUCUGGACAGUUACUGACACUGAGGCACGAAGGCCAGGGGAGCAAACGGG